GAUGAACGCUGGCGGCGUGCCUAAUACAUGCAAGUCGAGCGAAUGGAUUAAGAGCUUGCUCUUAUGAAGUUAGCGGCGGACGGGUGAGUAACACGUGGGUAACCUGCCCAUAAGACUGGGAUAACUCCGGGAAACCGGGGCUAAUACCGGAUAACAUUUUGAACCGCAUGGUUCGAAAUUGAAAGGCGGAUUCGGCUGUCACUUAUGGAUGGACCCGCGUCGCAUUAGCUAGUGGGUGAGGUAACGGCUCACCAAGGCAACGGUGCGUAGCCGACCUGAGAGGGUGAUCGGCCACACUGGGACUUAGACACGGCCCAGACUCCUACGGGAGGCAGCAGUAGGGAAUCUUCCGCAAUGGACGAAAGUCUGACGGAGCAACGCCGCGUGAGUGAUGAAGGCUUUCGGGUCGUAAAACUCUGUUGUUAGGGAAGAACAAGUGCUAGUUGAAUAAGCUGGCACCUUGACGGUACCUAACCAGAAAGCCACGGCUAACUACGUGCCAGCAGCCGCCGUAA
rnacentral:rRNA from 1 species